UACGUAGGGACCGAGCGUUGUCCGGAAUCAUUGGGCGUAAAGCGCGUGUAGGCGGUCCGGUAAGUCUGCUGUGAAAGUCGGGGGCUCAACCCUCGGAUGCCGGUGGAUACUGUCGGGCUUGAGUACGGAAGAGGCGAGUGGAAUUCCUGGUGUAGCGGUGAAAUGCGCAGAUAUCAGGAGGAACACCAAUUGCGAAGGCAGCUCGCUGGGACGUUACUGACGCUGAGACGCGAAAGCGUGGGGAGCAAACAGG
rnacentral:rRNA from 1 species